rnacentral:rRNA from 1 species
GCAGCCGCGGUAAUACGUAGGUCCCGAGCGUUGUCCGGAUUUAUUGGGCGUAAAGCGAGCGCAGGCGGUUUGAUAAGUCUGAAGUUAAAGGCUGUGGCUCAACCAUAGUUCGCUUUGGAAACUGUCAAACUUGAGUGCAGAAGGGGAGAGUGGAAUUCCAUGUGUAGCGGUGAAAUGCGUAGAUAUAUGGAGGAACACCGGUGGCGAAAGCGGCUCUCUGGUCUGUAACUGACGCUGAGGCUCGAAAGCGUGGGGAGCGAACAGGAUUAGAUACCCUGGUAGUCCACGCCGUAAACGAUGAGUGCUAGGUGUUGGAUCCUUUCCGGGAUUCAGUGCCGCAGCUAACGCAUUAAGCACUCCGCCUGGGGAGU